GAACUUUACUGACUAACAGUUAAAGAUUAUUUUCUCUAAUUUGAGAUUAUUCUGUAACAUAGUUUCAAAAGGUAAUAUGUGCUCGCGAUUCGUUGAAGGAAUCAAUUUGAAAACUGACGAACCUUUUCAUUCCGCGACUGUACAUAAGUCUACGUCAUUUAGCGAUAUUAGAUCUUGGAUGUAUGUAGGUACUUAAUUAUUUGUUUUUAUAUAUUACCCGACUGCGAUGAACCCUAAAGGAGUGUUAUGUUUUCAGCUCGUAUCUUAAGGGUAUUGCAAUUUGCAAUGCAUUCUAACAGUAGUAAGCGAUUGUUAGGGCAGGGUGGCAUACGACCACGGCUUUCCUCUGAACAUCAUUACAUAUAUAUCUGUGUAUAAAAAUAAAAAUUGUAUGUAAGUUGUCUACUUAAUAGAUGAUAAAUAUUAAAUAGUUUGUUGAGAAGAAUGUCUGUCAAGAAUAUUUUCUUUUUCUAUACUUUUUAGAGCGCGACGCGAGCUUUCCAUAGUCGGGGUGUUUUUUUUUUGUUUUAGUUAUUAAUAUUUUUUUCUUUUUGUAAAGCGAACCUAACUCUGUGAUUUGUUACCGUGGAAGAAAUGGACUUUAUGUAAUCGCAGCAUAUAAUAGGUGUAUUGUAUUACAUUUAAUAAAUUUAUCUUUUACAGAAAAAAAUCAUGUCACUGCCUCCAAAAAAAUUAUCUGGUGCUCAAAACUUAAAAAGAAAACGGAAAAAGCAAGAAGAAUCUGAGAAGGCAGCUAAAUUAUUAUCGAAAUUUUUGAGACCUGAGAAAUCAUCUGAAUCGUUAUCAUCAGAACUAGUUCAACUCCACCACGCAACGGAAGAAGACCUACUUAAUAAAAGUUCUUCAGGCGAAGCUCAUGAAGAUGAAAAACAACACAUUCAAGAAGAUUUACCUGGUAUUCCAGGAACCUCUUCUGGAUUUCAAAAUAUUUCGGAAGAAAUUAUAUCCGAUGUACAAUCAUCAUCAUCUCCUUUUAGAAAAAAAAAAUAUGAUGAUAUUUCAGAAUGGCCAUUCAUUGACUCUGCGACAAGAGAUGAAAUAAUUACUGAAGGCCCUGUAAGUAAUCAAAUGAGUAACGAAAACUACCCAAGGAAACUUGACGGUCGUCAUUUUUCAAAUAUGCAUUUUGAAAGAGUAAUGCCAAAUGGGGAAACUUUCAAAAGAAGAUGGCUCGUGUACUCUAAAUCUGCAGAUAAAGUACAUUGUUUUUGCUGCCGUUUAUUUAAUACAAAUCCCCAGUCUAGAUUGGGAAAAGAAGGAUUUGACGACUGGAGGCACUUAUCAACGCGUCUCAAAAUUCACGAAACAUCCUCAGAUCAUCGACGUGCUGUGAACAAUUGGAUAGAAGCGUCAAUUAGAUUAAAGAACUUCAGUGGAAUAGACAAGCACUUGCAAAAGCAGAUUGAGAGUGAGAAAACACGAUGGGUUGCUAUCCUCGAACGAAUGAUGUCAAUAGUAUUUUUCUUAGCAAGCAAUAAUUUAUCGUUUAGAGGGAGUUCUGGAGCGGAAACUUUAUACACUCCUAAUAAUGGUAAUUUCCUGGGUUUAGUGCAGUUACUGGGAAAAUUUGAUAUUGUAAUGAUGGAGCACCUUCGUCGUGUUGUAAAUAAGGAGACUAAUGUCCAUUAUUUUGGCAAACGUAUUCAAAACGAGUUAAUUGGCUUACUUGCAAGUGAAGUCCGAAAUAAUAUUUUGUCUAUGGUAAAAUCAGCUAAAUACUUCUCUAUCAUACUGGACUGUACUCCUGAUGUAAGCCACGUUGAACAAUUAUCAGUAACAUUCCGUUUUGUCGAUACUAAUGAAGAAGUCGAAGUACGUGAGUGUUUUGUUGCUUACAAGCCGGUAAGUGACUCUUCGGGAGCAGGACUUACUGGAAUCUUUCUAGAUACAAUUGUGCAAGAGUUUGACUUGGACAUGAACGAUUGUCGCGGCCAAGGGUAUGAUAAUGGAGCGAAUAUGGUAGGAAUAAAUAAAGGUGUCCAAACCAGAAUUUUGAAUCAAUAUCCUCGAGCAUUUUUCAAUCCAUGUGGUUGUCACAGUUUGAAUUUAGUGAUAGCUGAUGCAGCGAAAACUUCCGUUAAAUCAGUUUCUUUAUUUGGAUUUCUCCAAAGACUGUUUGUUUUAUUUUCCGGAUCAACAAAGCGAUGGGAAGUGGUAUCCAAGCACAUUGAAGGGUUAUCCCUGAAAAAAGUUUGCGAAACUCGCUGGGAGAGUAGAAUUUCUAGCCUUGCUGCUGUUCGCUAUCACUACUCUUCAGUUCGUGAUGCCCUUCUGAAUCUUCAUGAAGAAACAAAUGACUCAGUCGCUGCAUCAGAGGCCUUGUCUCUAAUUCAAUACAUGGAGCAAUUUGAGUUCAUAGUUACAAUGGUGGCUUGGUAUGAUAUAUUGUUUCAAGUAAACAUUGUAAGUAAGGCUAUGCAGUCUGAAUCUAUGGAUUUACCAAAUGCGUCGCAAUUGCUGAAAAACUGCUCAGAAUUUGUGAAACAGUACCGAGACUCUUCAUCUGCUCUAAUAACAGCUAAGGAAAUAGCAUCUCAGGCUGAGAUAGACCCAAUUUUUAAGGCUGCCCGAUCCCGAAGAAAGAAACGAUUAUUUGAGUAUGAAGCCGUAGAUGAGACACCAUCUGAUCCUGAAGAAUUGUUUAAAAUGAACGUUUUCUACCCUAUGAUUGAUACAAUUGAGAAUGCCUUAGUCACUCGAUUUAAACAACUAUCAAUAUUCAAUGAUACAUGGUCAUUUUUAUACAACAUGAAAAUAAUUCCUGAAAGAUCCAUAUUGGAAAAAGCCUGUAGUGAUUUGCAAAUCAGUUUAACAGAUGGGGAAAAAUGUGACGUGUCUGGUUGUGAAUUGGUUGAGGAACUUAUGAGCUUGAACCCAUUAAUAAAAGAUCUUCAAUCAGCAGAGCCACUUAAAGUUCUCCAACUUAUUAAAAAGAAUGAUUGGCAGGAUAUUUUCCCAAAUGUGUGGACAGCACUUCGCAUCUUGCUGACUAUACCUGUAACUGUCGCUAAAGGGGAACGAAGCUUCAGUAAAUUGAAACUUAUAAAAACUUACCUACGUUCUACUAUGUGUCAGGAAAGACUGUCAGAUCUUGGAAUCUUGUCCAUAGAAAAUGCUAUUGCUCAGAAGCUAAAUUAUUCCGAAUUAAUAAAAAAAUUUGCAAGCGCAAAAGCCAGAAAGGUAGCCAUUUAAGUUUUUCAUUAAAGUGGUUGUUGGAAGUUUUUUUUUUUAAGACUGUAUGUAGCCUAUCAGUUUGAAUAAAAGUUGUGAAACAAAAUUAUUA